rnacentral:rRNA from 1 species
GACGAACGCUGGCGGCGUGCUUAACACAUGCAAGUCGAACGGCAAGGCCCUGCUUUUGUGGGGUGCUCGAGUGGCGAACGGGUGAGUAACACGUGAGUAACCUGCUCUUGACUUUGGGAUAACUUCAGGAAACUGGGGCUAAUACCGGAUAGGAGCUCCUGCUGCAUGGUGGGGGUUGGAAAGUUUCGGCGGUUGGGGAUGGACUCGCGGCUUAUCAGCUUGUUGGUGGGGUAGUGGCUUACCAAGGCAUUGACGGGUAGCCGGCCUGGGAGGGUGACCGGCCACAUUGGGACUGAGAGACGGCCCAGACUCCUACGGGAGGCAGCAGUGGGGAAUAUUGCACAAUGGGCGGAAGCCUGAUGCAGCAACGCCGCGUGCGGGAUGACGGCCUUCGGGUUGUAAACCGCUUUCGCCUGUGACGAAGCGUGAGUGACGGUAAUGGGUAAAGAAGCACCGGCUAACUACGUG